GACGAACGCUGGCGGCGUGCUUAACACAUGCAAGUCGAGCGGAAAGGCCCUUCGGGGUACUCGAGCGGCGAACGGGUGAGUAACACGUGAGUAACCUGCCCCAGACUUUGGGAUAACCCUCGGAAACGGGGGCUAAUACCGGUUACGCCACAGCUUCGCAUGGGGUCUGUGUGGAAGGUUUUUCGGUUUGGGAUGGGCUCGCGGCCUAUCAGCUUGUUGGUGGGGUGUUGGCCUACCAAGGCGACGACGGGUAGCCGGCCUGAGAGGGCGACCGGCCACACUGGGACUGAGACACGGCCCAGACUCCUACGGGAGGCAGCAGUGGGGAAUAGUGCACAAUGGGCGGAAGCCUGAUGCAGCGACGCCGCGUGAGGGAUGACGGCCUUCGGGUUGUAAACCUCUUUCAGCAGGGACGAAGCGUAAGUGACGGUACCUGCAGAAGAAGCGCCGGCCAACUACGUG
rnacentral:rRNA from 1 species